rnacentral:rRNA from 1 species
GAAGCGGCAAAAGCUCAAAUUUGAAAUCUGGUACCUUUGGUGCCCGAGUUGUAAUUUGUAGAGUACCACUUUGGGACUAUACUUUGCCUAUGUUCCUUGGAACAGGACGUCAUGGAGGGUGAGAAUCCCGUAUGGCGAGGGUGUUAGUUCUUUGUAAAGGGUGCUCGAAGAGUCGAGUUGUUUGGGAAUGCAGCUCUAAGUGGGUGGUAAAUUCCAUCUAAAGCUAAAUACAGGCGAGAGACCGAUAGCGAACAAGUACAGUGAUGGAAAGAUGAAAAGAACUUUGAAAAGAGAGUGAAAAAGUACGUGAAAUUGUUGAAAGGGAAGGGCAUUUGAUCAGACAUGGUGUUUUGCGCCCCUCGCUCCUUGUGGGUGGGGGACUCUCGCAGCUCACUGGGCCAGCAUCAGUUUUUGCGGCAGGACAAAACCUUGGGAAUGUAGCUGUGCGCCUCGGUGUACAGUGUUAUAGCUCUUGGGAAUACUGCCAGCGGGGACUGAGGACUGCGAUACUUGUUAUCUAGGAUGCUGGCAUAAUGGUUAUAUGCCGCCCGUCUUGAACC